rfam:Schistosoma rodhaini strain Burundi genome assembly, scaffold: SROB_scaffold0002509
GCACUGCUGAAAAUUCCCACAAUAGGACGAAACGGCCGUCCAGUAC